rfam:Vittaforma corneae ATCC 50505 unplaced genomic scaffold supercont1.11, whole genome shotgun sequence.
GGCUCUUUAGUUUAGUGGUAGAACGUCUGUUUCGUAAUCAGAAGAUCACGGGUUCGACUCCCGUAAGAGCCU